rnacentral:misc_RNA from 1 species
UUUCCGUAGGUGAACCUGCGGAAGGAUCAUUCAUAAUAAAGUGUUUUAUGGCACUUUUUAAAAAUCCAUUUCCACUUUGUGUGCAAUGUUAGAUCUCGUCAAUCUUGGCGAGAGUGUUAUACAUCAACUUAUUCUUUAACUAAUUUGUCUAAAAAAUAUUAUGAAUACUUAAUUCAAAAUACAACUUUCAACAACGGAUCUCUUGGCUCUC